rnacentral:rRNA from 1 species
GUGGGGAAUAUUGGGCAAUGGGCGCAAGCCUGACCCAGCAACGCCGCGUGAAGGAAGAAGGUCUUCGGAUUGUAAACUUCUGUCAUUGGGGACGAAGGAAGUGACGGUACCCAAUGAGGAAGCCCCGGCUAACUACGUGCCAGCAGCCGCGGUAAUACGUAGGGGGCGAGCGUUGUCCGGAAUUACUGGGCGUAAAGGGUGCGUAGGCGGCGAUGCAAGUCCAUUGUGAAAAGCCCGGGCUUAACCUGGGAGGUGCAGUGGAAACUGCAUGGCUUGAGUGCAGGAGAGGAAAGUGGAAUUCCUAGUGUAGCGGUGAAAUGCGUAGAUAUUAGGAGGAACACCAGUGGCGAAGGCGGCUUUCUGGACUGUAACUGACGCUGAGGCACGAAAGCGUGGGGAGCAAACAGGAUUAGAAACCCGAGUAGUCC